GCGGGCGUCCAUCCAAACGUUUGAAGAUAAAGGAGGUGUCAACCACUCUUCCAUGGUCCAACUUCAGUGCCUGCAGGUCAUUAUAUAAACCAUGGCCCACUAAAAUAGUUCCUUUCCGUAAUAGCUUCUUCAUAGAUUUUUGUAUGUCAGCUAAUGAACAAGAUAAUUCAUCCAAAUCUCCAGCAGCAACUCCAGUAAUCUCGGUUCUAUAAUCUGCAACUGGUUUGCAAGGAUUUACUUUUUCGUCAAGUUUUAC
rnacentral:misc_RNA from 1 species